rnacentral:rRNA from 1 species
CGAACGCUGGCGGCGUGCUUAACACAUGCAAGUCGAACGCGAAAGGGACUUCGGUCCUGAGUAAAGUGGCGCACGGGUGAGUAACGCGUAGAUAACCUGUCUUCAUGGUCUGGGAAUAAUACGGCCGAAAGGGGUACUAAUACCGGAUAUUCUUGCUUUUCAUAAGUUAUGCAAGCAAAGGUGGCCUCUGCAUAUGCUACUGCAUGAAGAGGGGUCUGCGUACCAUUAGCUAGUAGGUGGGGUAAUGGCCUACCUAGGCGACGAUGGUUAGCGGGUCUGAGAGGAUGAUCCGCCACACUGGCACUGGAACACGGGCCAGACUCCUACGGGAGGCAGCAGUGAGGAAUAUUGCGCAAUGGGGGAAACCCUGACGCAGCGACGCCGCGUGAGUGAAGGAAGGCCUUCGGGUCGUAAAGCUCUGUCAAGAGGAAAGAAGUGUACAAUGGCUAAUACCUGUUGUAUUUGACGGUACCUCUAAAGGAAGCACCGGCUAACUCCGUGCCAGCAGCCGC